rfam:Lachnoclostridium sp. An169 An169_contig_3, whole genome shotgun sequence.
CCGUCAUUUCGGUAGGUGAGGUUACCACAGGGAUUGGGUUUAUCCCGAAGAUUGCUGCCGCGAGAUUGUGGAGACACAAAGAGCUGGUCAGCAGGCUGCGUCGAGAAGGCGCAACCUAAUGCAAUUGAUAUGCCCUGUGAUGCUAAAGCUUGGACGAUUUGUACAGAACC